ACUGGGCAUGGUGGUGUUUGCUGUAGCCCUAGCUACUCAGGAGUCUGGGGUAGGAGGACCACUUGAGCCCAGGAGUUUGAAGUCAGCCUGGGCAACAUAGCCAGAAUCCAUUUCAA
rnacentral:sRNA from 1 species